GCCAGGCAUGGUGGCACACGCCUGUCAUCCCAGCUGCUCGGGAGGCUGAGGCAGGAGGAUCAUGAGUUCAAAGCCAGCCUCAGCAACUUAGUGAGACCCUGUCUCUA
rnacentral:sRNA from 1 species